GGGUGCGACCGUACCAGCACUAACGCACCGGAUCCCAUCUGAACUCCGAAGUUAAGCGUGCUUGGGCGAGAGUAGUACUAGGAUGGGUGACCCCCUGGGAAGUCCUCGUGUUGCACCCC
rnacentral:rRNA from 1 species